GGACACGUAGCUCAGUUGGUUAGAGCGUUCGCUUCACACGCGAGAGGUCAAGGGUUCGAGUCCCUUCGAGUCCACCA
rnacentral:tRNA from 1 species